rnacentral:rRNA from 1 species
GGAUGAACGCUAGCGACAGGCCUAACACAUGCAAGUCGAGGGGCAGCACAUGAGUAGCAAUACGAUGGUGGCGACCGGCGCACGGGUGAGUAACACGUAUGCAACCUGCCUUCUACUAUGGGAUAACCCGUUGAAAGACGGACUAAUACCGUAUAAUACAGGGGCUCCGCAUGGAGAUAUUUGUUAAAGAUUUAUUGGUAGAAGAUGGGCAUGCGUAUGAUUAGAUAGUUGGUGAGGUAACGGCUCACCAAGUCAACGAUCAUUAGGGGUUCUGAGAGGAAGGUCCCCCACACUGGUACUGAGACACGGACCAGACUCCUACGGGAGGCAGCAGUGAGGAAUAUUGGUCAAUGGGCGGCAGCCUGAACCAGCCAUCCCGCGUGAAGGAAGAAUGCGCCAUGCGUUGUAAACUUCUUUUUCAGGGGGAUAAAAUUCUGUAUGUAUACAGGACUGAAGGUACCCUGAGAAUAAGCAUCGGCUAACUCCGUGCCAGCAGCCGCGGUAAUACGGAGGAUGCGAGCGUUAUCCGGAUUUAUUGGGUUUAAAGGGUGCGUAGGCGGGCGCUUAAGUCAGCGGUGAAAGGCAGCGGCUCAACCGUUGAAUUGCCGUUGAAACUGGGCGCCUUGGAUUCGGUCGAGGCCGGCGGGAAUGCGUGGUGUAGCGGUGAAAUGCUUAGAUAUCACGCGGGAACGCCGAUUGCGAAGGCAGCUGGGCCAGACCGAGAUCGACGCUGAGGCACGAAAGCGUGGGGGAUCAAACAGGGAUUAGAUACCCUGGUAGUCCACGCCGUAAACGAUGAUCACUCGCUGUUAGCGAU